UACAGAGGUCUCAAGCGUUGUUCGGAAUUACUGGGCGUAAAGGGCUCGUAGGCGGCCAACUAAGUCAGACGUGAAAUCCCUCGGCUUAACCGGGGAACUGCGUCUGAUACUGGAUGGCUGGAGUUUGGGAGAGGGAUGCGGAAUUCCAGGUGUAGCGGUGAAAUGCGUAGAUAUCUGGAGGAACACCGGUGGCGAAGGCGGCAUCCUGGACCAACACUGACGCUGAGGAGCGAAAGCCAGGGGAGCAAACGGGG
rnacentral:rRNA from 1 species